UCCGGUUCAACACCGGCAGUCUUCUUAGAGUCCCCAACUUAAUGCUGGUAACUAAGAACAAGGGUUGCGCUCGUUACGGGACUUAACCCAACAUCUCACAACACGAGCUGACGACAGCCAUGCAGCACCUGUCUCUAGGUUCCUUUCGGCACUUCCGCAUCUCUGCAGAAUCCCUAGGAUGUCAAGGGUAGGUAAGGUUCUUCGCGUUGCAUCGAAUUAAACCACAUGCUCCACCGCUUGUGCGGGCCCCCGUCAAUUCAUUUGAGUUUCAACCUUGCGGCCGUACUUCCCAGGCGGAUAACUUAUCGCGUUAGCUUCAAUACUGAUAGGUUCCCCUAACAACAUUUAGUUAUCAUCGUUUACAGCGUGGACUAC
rnacentral:misc_RNA from 1 species